rnacentral:lncRNA from 1 species
GUCGCCGGGGAGGCCCCGCCCGCUGCGACCGAGGAGGGAGCUUGCAGGGGUCUCCCCGCGCGCCCAAGAGAACGCCCUAGUGGGGCCCCUUUUCCACCCUGGCAGCCUAGCCUGGGUGGGCGCAGACCGGGGUAGGAGACCGCGGGAAUUCGUCCCUCCUGUCGGAGCUCACUGUCAGCUGCCUGCCCCUUCCCCCGCGACCCCCCCGCCCUCCUAGGAUCCUCAAGGUCCACUCCCACGGAUAGCCCUAACUCUGGCGAGCCCACCCCACGGAGGCAGAGGGACGGGAUUCCUUGGCGCUCUCCCUCUGGGUAAAGGAGAGCCUUGUCAAACCUGCGUCCAGAGGUAGCUCCCCUCUGGGAAUGGACAGCAUACCCCCCCCCCCCAGUUCUGUGAGAACCUCCUCGGGUACUCCAGGUGACCUCAGACUGGGCUGUGACUCUGCUGAGCCUCAGUUUUCCCAGCUGUAAAGUGGUACCUCCACAGUAGCAUGAGGGUGGAUGGGGACCGUGGUUGAGGGUUACCCCUCACCUGGCCUUGACUCUCCACUGUGAACCGACUGCGAAGCCCAGGGGCAGAGAAGGCUCUUCAGACUUGGGUCCAGCUGGCUUCCCAACCUUGCAGCCAAUGGCAUGCCCUCUGGGUGCUCCCCAUACUCCCCCAUCCUUCCUGGUCUCUGAAUGUCUACUCCUGGAGCAGAUUCACUCCCUGUCCAAGCAGCCUCAGCCCUGAAAAUCUCCCUGGCUCAGCCCCAGUACAGAAGCAGCCUGUCUGCCGGCCACUGCCCAAGGAGAGCCCUGAGUGCCCCGUGAGCCCAGGGGAGCCACCAGGGCCAGCACUGACUGGCUCAUCUCUGUGCAGGGACUCAGCCAUUCUUGGAAUGCAUGAGUCCUUGCGGAGGCCUUAGCUUCUGCCCACCAACCCCCAGCUAGGGUUCUGGCCUCCAUGUCUCCUGGGCCCCAGCAGUGUCCCGGUGUGGUCCCACCUGGGGGCAGGGAGGCUAGGACCUGGGCGGUGGCCUGGCCUUGGACCAGCGGGGGGAGGGGCAGGCUAGUUGACUCAUGUCCAGUGCUGGCGCCAGGCUGCAGUGCUCUGUCAGUGGGUGUGUUUGUUGACCCGGAGGAGGAAUGUGGCCUUUAGCCACAGUCCAGGCGCAGGAGAGAAACUGGCCACCUUUCCAGGAUCUUCUGUAGCGCGCUCAAUGUGAGGACCCUACCCUGGUGGGGAAGGAUUGGGCCCACUUCCCCAGGGCAGCUCUGCCAAGGGCUUGCUUCCCUGAUCCUGCCUGCGGGUGGCUAGGCCCAGGGACCCAGGGUUGGGCCAGGCCCCCCUAGGCCAGAGCAGGGUGAAGAAGGCAGGGUGAGUUGGGGUCAACAGGGGAGACUGAGGAAGUUCCUAGGGUUGGCUGAGCAGGAAGUCCCUGAGUGGUAUCUGUAUAUUGUGAGUAGUGGGCAGCUGGGGUCAGGGGUCAGAGACCUUGGCAGAGUGUGGGUAAGGACUGUGGAACCAGAAGAUCCUUUUUCUUGGACUUUGGGCCUGGACUGACAUGUCCAGGGCUGUGGAGUCAGCUUCUGGGGCUCUACCUACCUUGAUCACUGAUUUUCUGAGACAUUCAAGGGCCUUCCCAUUUCUUCCAGGGGCUCAACUGUAACCUCUGCACCUUGGGUACCUCCCAGCCCCAUCCUGAGCUGCUCCCUAUCCCUGAGGUUGACACGAGGACCAGUAUGGACUCAGAAGUUUUACCCGGGUGAGGUAGUGCACGCCUAUAAUCCCAGCUACUUGGGAGGCUGAGGCAGGAGGAUUCCAAGUUUGAGGCCUGUGUACCCUAACAAGACCCUGUAUGGAAAU